GACAUCAGGAGGAGUUUGCUAAACUGUGCAGCGUGUCAGUUUGUGUAGUUAAAGACGUAAAAUUACUGGAUAUAAACUUUCAACAAACUGUUUUACUGUUUUCAGCCGACUUCUGAGCUGGAAGUAGCUGAAGUGAGUAAACAGAUCGGCGUUUCAGUUUUUCUGCCAACUUUAAAAAGUACUGCUGGAGCUACCUCGCUAGCCUCUUAGCUAUGGUGUCAUUAUCAUGCCAAAAGUCGAGACAGCAAAUGAGACCCCACGCAAAGGGAACAGCAUGUGUUUACUUUCAUGUUACUUCGGUUAAAGCAUAAAAAACAUGCCUUGUUGCUUAUCCAGUGCCCCACGUGUUCGGACUGAGACCCAUAAUGCAUAUUUGUCUUAUCUUGUCGCCUUCACAGCAUUUAGACUCGGUGCUUGAGACAUCAUGCUCCCCCACUGCAGGAGGAAAGAGAUAAAGAAGCUGCUAAAACAGACUGAACACAUGUUGCUGGUAGAAGUACGCGAGCAGAGUGAUGGGCACAUCAGAGCAAGAAGAGAGGCAACAUUAAGAGCCCAUCUGACUACCUGUGUAUAGCGACUGCCCAGAUUAUUCCAUCAUGGGAUAGUUUCUUCCCUGAUGCCAUGGCGUUGUUCCAAGAUGAUGCCAAGCUUCAUCAGGCUGAAACUGUGAACAAGUUGUUCAGGGAGCAUGACGCGUCAUUUUCACACGUGGAUUGAUCACCAAAGACUUCAGACCUCAGCCGCACUGAGAAGCUUUGGGAUGUUCUGCAGAAGGCUUUGCUCUGUGCUCAGAGUCUUCCAUCGUCAAUACAAAAUCUUGGUGAAAAAUGAAUGCAGCAAUGUUUGGAAAUAAAUCUUGUGACAUUGCAGAAACUUAGAGGCAGUCCAACAAAAUGUUACGUGUGUGACCUUUUUAUUUUCUUUUUCUUUUGUCCAAGCAGUGUACGGAUUUGAGUCUUUUUGUACAAUUUUGCUGUUUGUGUUUGAGGAACUCCACAUUAAAUUCAAACUUUUGCACUCAAUAACUGUUCAUGAAAAAUGGCUGAUAUUAUUUGCUGUACCAUAAUUCAGACCUGGAAUAAAAGUCCCUGAAUUGCACUGCAUAGCAA